ensembl:snRNA U1 U1 spliceosomal RNA
CUACUUACCUGGUAGUGGAGAUGCCAUUAUCACUAAGGCACUUUUCCCAGGGGCAAGACUUAUCCAUUGCACUAUAGAUGAGCUAUCCUCUUUGACAGACCCAAAUCUGGGACUCAUCUACAUAAUUUGUGGCAGUGGGGCACUGUGUUGACACUUCACCCUG